GCUGUGGCUCAGUGGCAGAGCACCUGCUUUGAAUGCAGAAGGUCCCAGGUUCAAUCCCUGGCAUCUCCA